rnacentral:lncRNA from 1 species
AUUAAGAGAGAGAGAGAGAGAUAGGGGCAGAGUGACAGAGAGAGAAAGAGUUUCCCAUUCUGUACUCCAUAUAUACCCAACACUUGAUCAAAUUACAAAGUUGUCUAAAUGAGAUAGCACUUAGUGUGACAUUCUGCCAUUUGUUAAAGGACAGGCCAGGACAUUAACAUUUGAUUAGUGCCUGGUUAUACAUUCUUCUGCAAAUUACCACGGGACAGGAAGGGGGGAGGACGUGAUAAUCUUGUUACUUUUCAUUACUCUCCCAUUUCCAUUUGUUCUUAUGUUAUCCUAUUCUAUUUACUGUACUCUUUUCUUGUUUUUAUCUCUACUCUUCUGUCAUUUUAUCCACUCCUCUCUACCUUCUGUCCAGGAGGUUUGUGAUGAAGUAAUUAAAUUGUGGCAACUUUCUGGAAUAUAUUUAAUGUCCUCUCUUUGUCUGUUAAUCUUUCUGUUAGGAUGCAACUCAACUAUAGGGAGAAAAAGGUCGGCAUCAGAGAGAACAGAAGCCCAGAGAAGUACAAUUAUGUACACACUGUUCUUCAGGAGAAAAAGAGACUUAAAAGGGAGGCUGGGAGCACACAGAGGACACCGAUGCAACUCAACUAUAGGGUGGAAAAGGUCGGCAUCAGAGAGAACAGAAGCCCAGAGAAUUACAAGCUCCCUUCUGAUGGACCACGGCCCCCUGGUACAAUCUACCGUUUCCGGGCUCCAGCUACCUUGAAACACGGACUGAUCUGGAUCGUCGCACCCUGGGCUCUGCUGGAUCAUUGCUCUCCUCUGCUUCACUAUCUCCUCAUAUCUAUAUUUCUGUUAACCUUGAUCCCUCUCUCUGUCUAUUACUAAUGAUCUUGUGUGUCCUGCCCUCUUCCAGGUCAUCAUGGUGGACAGGAGGUCGUCUGGCUCGGGCUCCACUUGGUGAUGCCUCGUCCUGCUCGGUCGUCUCCUGAAUCAACUCACUUUACAUAACUUGUAUCAGACUUUCUGUUAAUGUAAUUUGUAAACUGUGAAUUGUUGCUCUUUUCUGAACACGCAACAUCUAUUGCAUGUCUGUCCGUCCUGGAAGAGUGAUCCCUCCUCUGUGGCUCUUCCUGAGGUUUCUUCCAUAGUUUAGUUUUUUUUUUACCGUUAAAAGGUCUUUAUUCCAUCAACGUGAAGUUUUUCCUCACUCAAAUCGAGGUUCUAAGGACAGAGGAUGUUGUUCACUGUACAGAUCAUAAAGCCCACUGAGGCAAUGUGACAGUGAUUUUGGGCUAUAUAAAUAAGAUUGUUCAGAUGCAUGCCAAUAAGGGGGGAGGUAGGGGGAGAGAGAGAUUCUGGCGAUAUUAAAAUUAUUUACAUUAAAAUGGUAAGCGUGACACAGAGAUUUCUUGAGUGAGAAGUACAUAAACUAGUGUGUAACUUUUGUCUUAUGAUUGCCUGCAUGACAACCAGUGAGAAGAGUGGCAAGCUGCAAAUUGAAAAAACGGUAGGAAGUUCAACACGAACAUCGUAGAGUUUUUUACUGUUUGCACUACUGCUAAUGCUUCAAAUGAAAUGUCUCAGUGUGCUAACAUUCGGAUUUCUGCGUUGCUGUCAAAUCCGUGUCGAUCCAUGUUUGUUUCCUUAGCUUUAUGAAUGUUUGAUGAAGUGAAUUUCAGGGACCGCUAUUUGACGCGAGUGCUGUACUUCCUGGUUUGCCGCGUUGCAUCUUGGGAGAUGUAGUGUCCUAUUACAGAUAUAGACUAAAUGCGUUUUUGCACAGACCUUUCGGUAGAAUUUGAAAAUGGUGCAUAAUGUUUGACAUAUGAAACGUGUAUGUGAAAAGAAUUAUACAUUUUAGUAUUAUAUAUUUCUACUUUUGACUUGCAUAUGAUGUUCAUUAUACUAUUACUAGUUGAUUAACAUUUGAUGAUAUUUGUCAUGGGAUAUGGGUUGAUAUGUUAUUUAUUAUAUUGCUUAUUGUUACUGGGCUAUUGUGGUGAGUGAGCUGUGAUGAUUGUGUUAUGCACAUGGAAAAUGAAACGUAACAUUCCUUAUCUUUCAGGUUUAUUACCGCUUCCCCCUUUCAAGAAAUAAAAACAUACAAAAGUGGAAUACUGAGUGAUGUCCUUUCCUUUUUGGGUUGCCCUCCGUGGGGAGAAACGACAGUUGUGCUUCAUAACUCUCAGGGGGGAAUACAUCACUGCGUGUCAUACAUAAAGAGAUGUGUCAAUGUAAGAUUGUAAGACUAAUUUAUUUAUCUUUAUUGAUACUAUCAUUAGUCUCAUUACCACUUAUUUUACUAUUGUCUAUUAUCUCACACACUGUCAAUAAGACAACGGGAGAAACUAUUUUGUUCUUCUACUUAUGAAGCAUACGUUUAUCCAUUUAAAGACAAUGACAUCCGUUACACAGACCCUAAACUCUUCUUCACUUGCAAAUGCAAACGUACUUGCAUGUCGACAGCCCAUCAGAUACAUCGUCUUCUCAUCUGCAAUGGUCAGAAUUAGCAGAAUGUCUCUGUACUGAGAAAUGAAGCAGACAGACACAGACAUAUGCACACCCAAACAAGGUCAUCACAAACUUCUUCAUAAUUGUAUGCCCGCCACAGACUGAGAAACAGGAACUGAGACACGAUUUAUUGUGUUAUUUUGUAGUGUUUUAAUGACUUUAAAUAGAGAGGGUUAGAUACAUAAACCAUAAACUGACAAUCUAAACAUGAAGACACAAAAAAAUUAGAUAGCUAUUGCUGCCCAAUAUAUAUCAGCAUGAGUAGACAGACACACACACAAGUACAGGAAUACAAGCACACACACAUAUAUA